UACGGGGGGGGGCAAGCGUUGUUCGGAAUUACUGGGCGUAAAGGGCUCGUAGGCGGCCAACUAAGUCAGACGUGAAAUCCCUCGGCUUAACCGGGGAACUGCGUCUGAUACUGGAUGGCUUGAGUGUGGGAGAGGGAUGCGGAAUUCCAGGUGUAGCGGUGAAAUGCGUAGAUAUCUGGAGGAACACCGGUGGCGAAGGCGACAUCCUGGACCACGACUGACGCUGAGGAGCGAAAGCCAGGGGAGCAAACGGG
rnacentral:rRNA from 1 species